UUUCAGACUAAGUUGUUGUCUUGGAAGGCUUAUUUUUUAAGUCAGAUCAGUUUUUAAACUAGCUUUUUUAUUUUAAUUUUUUUUAUUAAAAUAUCAAAUAAAUUAGCUUAUAAGUCUCAUUUUAAAAAACUGAUAUACCUCGGUUUUAAAAAAAAACUAGCUUAAAAACUCACUUUAAAUGCUAACUUGACCAAACAAAUUAAUAUUAUACUCAAACAAUUUGUAUAGUAUUUUUAUCAAAAAAACCAAGAGCCAUUAAAAGCCAGUAUAGCUUAUAACCUUAAAAUUAAGAGUUCCUUAACACCCACUAAAUAUCAUUUAUAUAUCGUAUUGUUUCAUUUACUUUUCACUUAUAUAUUCCUAGUUGUAUUUAAUAGCAAGAAAAUAUGCUAAAAGUUUUUAUACUUGCACUUAAAUACGCUCAUUCAUUUUUUAGCACUUAUAUACCUAAAGUUUUUUAAAUUUGGCACUUAAAUACCCUAAAAAUUUUAAACCUAACGCUUGAAUACCAUAAAGUUUUUAAAACUCGUACAUUGUUGAUGGUUAAAUGAUCAAACAAUCAAUAUAUGUGGUUGGGUGAAGUUGAUGAGGGGCUGCUUCCUUCCCCGAAUAUCUGGUUCUGAGUUGAGCAGCUGAAGUCUGCAUAAAUAACAGUUCGUGAGAGGAUGAGGUUUGGUUCCCAUGUGGUUCCUACGACGAUUAAUUCAUUAAUGAACUUGAGUGAGAAAUGAAGAACUGCUUGAGUUUUUAUGUGUAGUGCAGCAAAAUGUAAUUCUCAGAUAUUGCUUAGAAUAACUUAGAUUCAAGACUAGAGAUCAAAAGUCCCCCUCAUGUAUGUUAGAAUAGUACCUCUAUUUAUACUAUUAGUAUAAGAGUAGAACCGUCACUUUGGCCGAGCACAGAAUGGCGGUAAACAAAUAUGGGCUGGCGGCUGCGUCAGUACCUACUUUAUAGGUGUCGGUCGGCGAGUGGAGGAGGGAUCACAACAGCAUUAAAUGAGAAUUGAUCGAAGGCAUGGCGGUGCCGACAUGGUCCGAUGAGUCAUGAAGACUAUAUGGGCUAGAGGCAUGAUGACGCCUACCAAGCAUUAAAUGUGAUGUUGACACGUUGUCAGUGGGAGAAGCUCGAGAUUGAAGUCAUCUUUUGGCUUGGUCAAGAAGUAAUGCCUUUCGAGUCAAACCCGCAAAGUAUCGAAUAGCUAGUCGAGUGGGCUCGUAGCGAAUCGUCUUCGACAAGAGGACCGACAAGUACCGCCCUUCGAGUCGACCCAAGAAGAUGUCGAUUCAGCAAGUCGGGUAAGUGGAGAUCCUUGUUAGUUUUGGCCUCCAAAUUGAUUGGGGCAUUGCAUGUAGAAGUACACCCAUCCAUUCCUGACAAAAGGGUUGCACUUUGACGAUUGAGAAUACCAUAACACACACAAUACCCUCAAUUAUGCGAACUUAAAAAAGUAUUUAGGUUCAACUUUUAAAAACUUUAGGGCAUUUAAUUGCCAGAUUUAAAAACGUCAAGGUAUUUAAGUGUCAUAAAAAAAAUAAGGGAGUAGAAGUUUAAAAAACUUUAGGGUUCUUUUUCUACCAAAUACAAAUUCGGGUAUGUAAGCGAGAAGCAUGUGAAACAAUAGGGUAUGUAAGUGUUAUUUAGCCUAGCUUUUAAUUUGUCAAAAAUAAUUCUAAGCUAAAUACUUUAUUAUUUUAUCAGUAUUAUACUUUAAAUAUACUAAAUUAUAAAAAAAUAUCAUAUAAAUAUUCUAAGUUGCUCGCCGUUAAAAUAUUAUAAACAUCAUUAAAAAAUCUGUUAUUAUAGGAAACACCCCUCUAUAGAAAUGAUUGUAUAAUUUAAGAAAAUAUGGAGGGUCUACAGAACUCGCAAUAUCCCCAUAUCCUCGAGAGAAGGGGUUCCUCCUCACAAAGAGGGUCACAGCGAUUAGGCUCGAGCUACGGUACGGUUUACCAAAAAACACAGGUCUUCGCAUAGUCGUGAGACUAUGCAUGGGGCUGACACGUGCCUAGCGCCGAAAAGGUCGAGAAACUUGGCAACCUGUUGACAGGGGAGUCGACGACCGAAGCCUCGGUGAAUGAUGGUUGAAACUAUAAUGGUACUAAGGUAGCAAAAUUCCUUAUCGGGUAAGUUCCGACCAGCACGAAAGGUAUAAUGAUAUGGGCAAUGUCUCUGAGAGAGGCUCAGUGAAAUGGACAUGCUUGUGAAGAUGCAGACUACCUACACUUGGACAGAAAGACUCUAUGAAGCUUCAUUGUUCCUUGGGACUAGAUUUGGGCCUUUCUUGUGUAGCUUUAGUAGAAGGACGAGAAAGUCUCCUUACGGGAAGGGCCUGUGCCAUUAGUAAGAUACCACUCUGAAAGAACUAGAACUUUAACCUCGUGUAAGGACCUACGGGUCAAGGGACAAUCUCAUGUAGAUAAUUUUUAUGGGAACUAGGCCUCCCAGAAGGUAAUAGAGGCGUGCAAAGGUUUCCUUGGGCUGGACGGAGAUUGGCCCUCGAGUGCAAAGACAUAAUGAAGCUUGACUGUAAGAUUCACUUGUCGAGCAAGGACGAAAGUUGGCCUUAGUGAUUCAACGGUGCCGAGUGGAAGGGUCAUUGCUUAAUAGAAAAAAGUCACUCUAAGGAUAACAUGCUAAUCUUCUCCAAGAGUUCACAUCGACAAUUAAGGUUUGGCACCUUAAUGUCGUCUCUUCACCACUUGAGGCUAUAGCAUGUUUCAAGGGUUAGGCUAUUCACCCAUUAAAGCAGCACAUGAGCUGGAUUCAAUGUCUUGAGAUGGUUCGAUCCAUAUCCGGUACGGGGGCUACAUCAUUGAGAGGGUUUUUCCCUAGUACGAGAUGACUGGGAAGGAUGCACCUCUAGUAUAUCAGUUAUCGUGCCCAUAAUAAAUGCUGGAUAGCUGUUGAAAGUAUCUAAGUAGCAAACCCUCUAAGUAGAAAUAUUAUCAGGUACAAUUAACAAAAAGUACUAACAUGCUAGUUUUUAUAACUUAGGGUUUUUAAAUGCUACUUUUCAUAAAUUAGGCUAUUAAGUUAUUUUUUACAAUUUUUAGGCCUCAUUUGGUAUAGAGGAAUAGGUGGGAAAGGAAUGUUCACUCCCACUUCUAAUUUAUACAUACCAAACAU
rnacentral:rRNA from 1 species